CCUCCUUAUUUUGGCACUCUGUCACCUCUGUAGUGAUGAUGUGAAUGCUUAUGGGAGGGACAUUAAUCAGGGACUAUGCCUUCGGUGCCAAAACUAGUGUUUUGGUUCCAUCCUCGAUGUCCUGUACAUAU
rfam:Stegodyphus mimosarum contig121319, whole genome shotgun sequence.